rnacentral:lncRNA from 13 species
GGGAGAUUUGGUUUUCCCAUAAUGCUUCAUUUUUUUUCCCAAAAGGAGAGUGAAUUCACGUAAUGCUUAUGUAAUUUAAAAAAUCAUCAAACAUGUAAAAAGAAAAACGGGGGCGAACAUGCUGGGUGACAUGAGCUGUUUAACCUGCUGCCAGGCUCAGGAAUGAGGGCAUUUUCUGUAGAUCCAUGAGAAUGUCCCAGGUUGCUGCCUCUCCAGGGUGGUUUCCGUGGGUGCUCACAUGUGGCAUCGAGGUUACAAAGUGCUCUUCCCAUUUGAUUCAUGGUCACAAAAAUAGCCUUCCCAGGCCGGGCAGGCCCGCAUGCCCCCGUCUUUUACGGAGGUGGAAAUGGAGGUCCAGAGAGGCAAAGUGACUUUCCUGCAGUCACACAGCAGUGUCUGGUGGUGCCAUGCUCAGAGCUCCGCACUUUGGGUCCUGAGCUCCUCCCAGAUUUGCCUGCUCUCUGGAACCGACAUCUGUAGCUCCUUCCCAGGGAGAUCUGGGUCUCCCACUGCAUUUUGACCUCCCUGUGGCUGCAGGAGCUGCUGCUUCUUGGUCAGAUGGUAUCCCCUUCCCCCCCAGCAGUAUCUCAGGAUAAAAAUAAACCAUCCUGUUCUCUUUUCCUGCUGAGCCAACUGAGGGGGAGCCUAGCCAGGAGGAACGGCAGAUGGAGAGGGAGCAGAGGGGAGGGGAGGGGAGGGGAGGGGGGAGGGGAGGAAGGGUGGAGGACAAGGAGGAGAAGGAAGAGCAAUGCAAAGUACCCUGCAGAACCCGGCACAAAGGUUCGAGCCAGUUUCUGACUGCAAGCUGGGAAUCACUUGCCUCAGGGAUUUUCCAGGCCUUGAAAACACGCUUGGUGCCGAGGAAGGCCAGGCCUUUGCUGCAUUGCCGACGUGGAGGAAUUACAGGAAGACAGACUGUGGCACAGAAAAAGAGGGAUGUACGAAGCCACCUGACCAACAAAGCAGGCUGAUCCUGGAGGGCGUGAGGUGCCCGACACUGGAGAUGGUGACAUAGCUUUCCUUUUAAGAAUAAAGCAAAAGAAAAUCCGAUAAAAGACUUGAAU